rnacentral:misc_RNA from 1 species
GAUGAAGAACGUAGCGAAAUGCGAUAAGUAAUGUGAAUUGCAGAAUUCAGUGAAUCAUCGAAUCUUUGAACGCACAUUGCGCCCGCCAGUAUUCUGGCGGGCAUGCCUGUUCGAGCGUCAUUACAACCCUCAGGCCCCCGGGCCUGGCGUUGGGGAUCGGCGAGCCUUUCUGGCAAGCCGGCCCCGAAAUCUAGUGGCGGUCUCGCUGCAGCCUCCAUUGCGUAGUAGUAAAACCCUCGCAACUGGAACGCGGCGCGGCCAAGCCGUUAAACCCCCAACUUCUGAAUGUUGACCUCGGAUCAGGUAGGAAUACCCGCUGAACUUAAGCAUAUCAAUAAGCGGAGGA